rnacentral:rRNA from 1 species
UAAUACGGAGGGGGCCAGCGUUGUUCGGAAUCAUUGGGCGUAAAGGGCGCCUAGGUGGCGGAGCAAGUCGGACGUGAAAGCCCUCGGCUCAACCGGGGAACUGCAUCCGAAACUGCUUUGCUUGAGUCCUGGAGAGGGUAGCGGAAUUCCCAGUGUAGCGGUGAAAUGCGUAGAUACUGGGAGGAACACCGGUGGCGAAGGCGGCUACCUGGACAGGUACUGACACUGACGCGCGAAAGCGUGGGGAGCAAACAGGAUUAGAUACCCUGGUAGUCCACGCUGUAAACGAUGGGCACUUGGUGUUGCGGGUAUCGACCCCUGCAGUGCCGAAGCUAACGCAUUAAGUGCCCCGCCUGGGGAGUACGGUCGCAAGGCUG